GCCUGAUGCAGCAACGCCGCGUGAGGGACGACGGCCUUCGGGUUGUAAACCUCUUUUAGUAGGGAAGAAGCGAAAGUGACGGUACCUGCAGAAAAAGCACCGGCUAACUACGUGCCAGCAGCCGCGGUAAUACGUAGGGUGCAAGCGUUGUCCGGAAUUAUUGGGCGUAAAGAGCUCGUAGGCGGUUUGUCACGUCUGCUGUGAAAACUGGAGGCUCAACCUCCAGCUUGCAGUGGGUACGGGCAGACUAGAGUGCGGUAGGGGAGAUUGGAAUUCCUGGUGUAGCGGUGGAAUGCGCAGAUAUCAGGAGGAACACCGAUGGCGAAGGCAGAUCUCUGGGCCGUAACUGACGCUGAGGAGCGAAAGCGUGGGGAGCGAACAGGAUUAGAUACCCUGGUAGUCCACGCCGUAAACGUUGGGAACUAGAUGUGGGGUCCAUUCCACGGAUUCCGUGUCGCAGCUAACGCAUUAAGUUCCCCGCCUGGGGAGUACGGCCGCAAGGCUAAAACUCAAAGGAAUUGACGGGGGCCCGCACAAGCGGCGGAGCAUGCGGAUUAAUUCGAUGCAACGCGAAGAACCUUACCAAGGCUUGACAUAUACCUGAAAAGGCUGGAAACAGUCUCCCCGCAAGGC
rnacentral:rRNA from 1 species